UACCAGCACCCCGAGUGGUCGGGACGUUUUAUUGGGCCUAAAGCAUCCGUAGCCGGUUCUACAAGUCUUCCGUUAAAUCCAACUGCUUAACAGGUGGGCUGCGGAAGAUACUAUAGAGCUAGGAGGCGGGAGAGGCAAGCGGUACUCGAUGGGUAGGGGUAAAAUCCGUUGAUCCAUUGAAGACCACCAGUGGCGAAGGCGGCUUGCCAGAACGCGCUCGACGGUGAGGGAUGAAAGCUGGGGGGAGCAAACCGG
rnacentral:rRNA from 1 species